UCUCCUGGCGGCGGCACAUUAUUCUAUGACUCGAAGUCGUACAAAUCGUUCAAUACGGCGACGGAUUGGCGACAGUAAGGAAUAAGCGAAAAGUGAAAAACGCGUUUAGUGCAAAUCGGCAGAUAUUUUAAAUCGGCGGUACGAACAUAGUGUUGCAGAUCGACAAAUACCGACACGUCAUGUAUUAUUCAAAUAUACUGCAGGACAGCGGAAAUCGGCCGCCGCCGGUCGUGACGGAGCAACGGUGUCGUGUAUAUAACGCAGGUAAUAUCAUAUUAUACCUAUACGUAUACGUUCAUUAUAGUUUAGGCGCGGACGUUAAAUGCGGAUUGCACAAAAAACAGAGGGACCUUUUGAAAAUCGUGAGAAUAUUAGGGUCAUAACGUCGCUUCCGGCCAUUGAACGGCGCGGUCCGCGUGUUCGGACGACGCGCCACACGGAAGCAACUGUCCCUUGCGCGUCUACGACUGCUGCAGUGUGCGCUCGAAGACCAGUUUUUCGUACUCAAAGGUGGUAACGUCCGCGUUUGUGUGUGUGUGUGAGCCCAUAGGUAUUAUUAUCGUUAUUAUUAUUAUUUACGACCCCGCGAGUGGACAAUGGGGCCAAACCGGUUGUCCGCGGACGCCGUUGUUGUGCAACCCUUUGCGCUUGACCGGUGCGCGCCGAUCGUCUUCCCAGCAAACCGGUUGCCCCGCCGAACGCGUCGGCCUACUACAGAGGGAUGAGCACGUCGGAUGUCCCCCACGCUUACACCGUGUAAUAAUAAUAUACAUAAUACGCGUACCUGGUUUGACACACACACACACACACACACACGUCAGAGCGCGAGGUGGUGGGAACCGCCGAGAAACCAGGUCCCGUCCCGGCGCAGUCUUCGUUUAAUGUGUCGUCCGGAUCAGUUGCCCGCAGAAAGCCACCAUCCGAGAAAUCAAAACCUUGGCAAUAAAAUCAUUCCUGCAGCUUGAAAGUAGCUGUGAAUAUUACAACGCAAUUUAUUGGGCUCUGAUUUGCAAACGUUAAAAUAACUGAUAUAAUAAUAACAUAUUUCUAUAUAUUAUUAUGGCCUUUUUUUCUCUAGUUAAUAGUUUAUACGUUUACUUUAGUAAAAAUGUAUCAUGAUAUGUAUAAAAUAUAUAAUAUUUUGUUUAGCUACAA